rnacentral:rRNA from 1 species
UCAGGUGACUAUAGCGGCAGGGUUCCACCUCUUCCCAUUCCGAACAGAGAAGUUAAGCCUGCCAGCGCCGAUGGUACUGCGAAAGUGGGAGAGUAGGUCGUCGCCGACU